GUGUCUAAAUAUCCUCCACCAACAUGAUCUUCCUGUGUGUCGGUCAUGAUUUUUUUCUAGAAAGAUGUUGAAGAGAUUUGGAAAGAGCUUGUCUUACUGCGACAGUUGUCUGGAACCAUUCUCCGAUUCUCUUGUUGUAACAGACUACACUGGUUCUGUUGUUAUAAUGGCUCUGUAUGGUUCGGAUACAGUAAGUUUUGAAUUGUGUGUCAAUGGCCUUCUGGAAGCCUAUAAAGACAGGAUGGAGGUCUUGCUGGUGUUGAAGGUACUUCUUGCACAAUACACAUAGGUUAAUGUUUUGGGUUUUUUCCACAGUGCUGCGGCUUAGUUGGAACCUGGCUCGCUCUUCUGCAAUAAUCUCUUCCACUUUGCAGUGUGAGUCGGUUCAAGAACACCUUCAACAUUAUUUUGCUUGGUUGGGCUGAUGAGGCUGAUGGUGCGAUGGUUUUGGACCAGCUGUAGGUUGCCUUUCUUCAGAAGGGUUGAGAGAAGCGACAGGGUUAGCCUAACCUUAACCUCUUUUACGUUCUUUUUGUCACACAAGUCUAGGGCGCCAGUUGUGACCCAAUUGUUGGCGAAUGUCAGUGUUGUGUUUAAAGUCUCUGUUACUGUUUCAGUGGCUCCCUCCUCUAUACCCAAGAUGGUGAAGGAUGCAGACUGUCCUAUCAUUUCUUAGAAGGUUGUAGAUACUUCAGGGUCUUUCAGAUGUUCAAGAUAAAAUAUAAUUCAAUAUUUCAAAGUAGGCCAAACUAUGAUCACUAUCAGCCCAGUCCAGCCCUACACACACCAGGCUCAAAGCGGUGAUCCAGCGUUAAGUCAAGCAACACUACCCAGCGAGCUAAAAGCCUGAAGCAGAGGUAGAGGAGCACCGCCCCUUUUUGGCUGACACCGUAACUUCAUGUCCAAAUAAGAACUUCCACCUCGCUGUGAUGUCACAACGUAGCCAGACUGCAAAACCCCGCAAACAGAGGCCUCCAAAACUGCAAGAGAACACACCUCCAAACACUUCUACGCUCUUAAAUCGCACAUUCUUCUGAGGCGGCAUGGCGUAGUGGGUAGAGCAGCCGUGCCAGAAACCUGAGGGUUGCAGAGUGACUGGAGGUCACGACCUUGGCGAAUGACUGCAGCGCGUUGGCGCUACGCUGGGAUUGGUUUGUGAACGUCUGGCUGUGUGCACACUUUGCAAUCCUCCUCUCAGGCUUGAUGCGCAGCACACAACUCUGCAGAGGAAGGCAGGCGGGAGUCAGUGAGCACCA